GGCGGCAGGCCUAACACAUGCAAGUCGAGCGGUAGAGAGAACUUGCUUCUCUUGAGAGCGGCGGACGGGUGAGUAAUGCCUAGGAAUCUGCCUGGUAGUGGGGGAUAACGUUCGGAAACGGACGCUAAUACCGCAUACGUCCUACGGGAGAAAGCAGGGGACCUUCGGGCCUUGCGCUAUCAGAUGAGCCUAGGUCGGAUUAGCUAGUUGGUGGGGUAAUGGCUCACCAAGGCGACGAUCCGUAACUGGUCUGAGAGGAUGAUCAGUCACACUGGAACUGAGACACGGUCCAGACUCCUACGGGAGGCAGCAGUGGGGAAUAUUGGACAAUGGGCGAAAGCCUGAUCCAGCCAUGCCGCGUGUGUGAAGAAGGUCUUCGGAUUGUAAAGCACUUUAAGUUGGGAGGAAGGGCAGUAAAUUAAUACUUUGCUGUUUUGACGUUACCGACAGAAUAAGCACCGGCUAACUCUGUGC
rnacentral:rRNA from 1 species